UCAUUUGAAGCUCCUUUACAUCAAGGAGAAAAGAUAAAGCACGGCAAAAAGUCUGGCCAUGUGUUUUCAGUACCAGGCCAUGCAGUUCUCACAGCCAGAACUUUUAGCAAGUGGAGCCAGUGAUGUCAGCUUUCCUGUGUCUGUUCACUGCCUCUGGUCACUGCUGCCCUUGCUGGGAGAAGACUGAUUAAUGUAGACAAGAAGAAUUUAUAUUCCAUCAGUGAUACAGUAGAAUCCAGAGUGUAGAGAUGUAUGACAGUCAAACUGAUAUCUCCAAGAAACACUGAAGCCUCUGUGUCACAAGGUAGUUUGGUACUUAAUGUGGUGCUCAGAACUUGCUUUCAUGGGAGCCUACUAUUUAUGCAGCUUCUGAGACCUCUGGUGAGAUCCACUUAACCACAUGCUAAACAUCUACAGUACAGAUGUUCACGUGAGAAAGUUCCUUGCAUACAAACUAUGCUGUAAGCAAUAGAGACAGAAUAUUUAGGCAAUAUAAUUUCUUAGAUAAGAUUAAUCUUGCUAUAGGGAUGACUGUUUUUCUUCAAUGACUACAAACAUAGAACACUGCUCUUAGCCUUCAUGUGAACAUCUGCAAUGAGUCUUCUCCUUGUAGCCCAAAGAAAUACAACAUGGCUUUUUGGGAAAUGAAACAUAAGCAACAUUGUGACUUGGAAAGAGGAAUUCACAAUUAUGUCUGUGGUGUAAGAGUAGGCUGCAGUUGCAUCAUCUCAGAUGCAACCCUUAAGUCAAGAUCUGGCUUGUUUGGUAAGUAAUAAAUCCUUAAUUUCCUAGGUAUCAUGUAGUCUAUGAGGAGUGUGUAGGGGAUGAUUGAUUGCUUCUGUAUCAUCCAUGGAACUGUCCCCUAUCUGGAAUGGGAACUAGUAGGAACUUGAGCAGGCAACUGGGAUUUAUGUCUCCUGGGCAUGUAACCUAAACAUGGCUCGACAGUCACAGUACCACGUCUUCCAAAAAGAAAAUCUAGACUUGUCAGACUUGGAGAUUAAGAUAACUAAUUAAGAGAAACUCAGUAAGGGAGCAACUGCAUUUAAUAGCACCAUUUCUAAAGUGAAAAUUUCUGUGGGGCAACAAAAUAUGAUAUCAAUAUUUUUUGGAUCUGUGCUGUCUAGUUCUACACACUCUCAACGGUGUGCUCUCAAUGGAGUUACUAGAUUGUCUUUCUCAGGCUCUCUAAAGCCUCUCCAAUCACCGUGGCUCAGACAUUAGAGAUAGAACUUAGAAAAACAGCGAAAAGCUUUAUUUCAUUAAUUAAUGAAAUUAAUGAAUUUUUUUCAUUUUUUUCUACAAAAACUCCAGUUCAUUUGAGAUCAGUCGUGAAUAUUUAGAUUUUAUAAAUACCGUUGUAUUUUCUUAAAUUUAUAAAUUUCUAAAAAUGACUGUGAACAUGUUAAGUACAAUUACAAAGGAGAUAAGAACUCAAAAGAAGAAGAUGUAGUUGAUAUAAAUAUUUUUUUGAUAUCAUAGUGAGAAAUUAAGAGGAUGUGUUUAUAAUAAUCAUCCAACUUUACUUGCAAUGCUUCUCUAGGGGAGAAAAAUAUUUGAGGCAGCUGUCCAGAUAAUUUGAAGUAGAGUUGAAAGUCUAUUUGGAUAGCAGCUAUUUGGAAGUUAUACAUGUUGCUGUGAAGAAUGGUAAUGGAUACGUGUUCUCACUGAACAAAGGAUAUUUAUUACAGUAGAAUAAUCUGUGCUUGUGUAAACUAGCACAACUCUGUUAUUAAUGAUGAUGGCUAAUCCCUGAUCUUUUCCAGUAGGAAAAAAGAACUUGGAGACACAGUAAAAUAAACCAACUGCCCCUGCCACACACAUACACAUGCUCAUAGAAAAACAAACCUACAGACACACACACACACAAAAUUAAACUAACAAUUAAAAAACAAACAAACAACAACAACAAAACAGAAUAUGAAGAUACAAAGGCUUUACAGGUAACUGCCUUCUUUACCUCGGAAGAUAUCAUAUCCAUUGUCAGAUACAGUGUAAUGCUGGCAUUUGCAUUGAGAAUAUACUGUUUUUGUCACUGCUCUGCUUAAAUACAUAAAAUAGCAUUUCAUGACUAGCUAGAUACCUUUUUUUUUUAAUUCCCCUCCUGGAUAAUUUUGUGGGUGGAAGUACUUAUCUGUGUAAUUGUAUCAUUUGUGCAAAUGAUUGUCAUGAUUUUCAAGAAAUUUUAGGUUCAUUAUGCAUGUUAAAAUUUAUGAAUAGCUUUCCAAAUUCAAGAAAUUACUUAAACUAUGGAAAAAAAAUCACUGAGAUCCUGUGACGAUUAAAUCAUUUUCUUUCUUUGUGGUGACUUCUGCAACAAUUUUAAGUCUACAGAGACCUUUCCCUCUGCUAAAAUAUUUGUAUUUGUCAUCAUUUAGUUUUAAUGUUGAAUAACUUCCUAAUAUGUGAACUGUUUCUUCUGUCACCCUGGAAAAAUUCUUGUGCACUGGAUGCUUUCAUACCUCACACACGAAUAGGAAACAUUUUUCCUUCUUUGUCUCCUAAACAACUGUUUCCAAAACAGUCAAAAUCGUCCAUCUAAAAUGCUGAAUAUGAAAGUGAUU
rnacentral:lncRNA from 7 species